GGGAUGGUGGCUCAGUGGUAGAGUGCUUGCCUUGCAUGCAUGAGGCCCUGGGUUCGAUUCCUCACACCA
rnacentral:tRNA from 1 species